rnacentral:rRNA from 1 species
UACGAAGGGGGCUAGCGUUGCUCGGAAUCACUGGGCGUAAAGGGUGCGUAGGCGGGUCUUUUAAGUCAGGGGUGAAAUCCUGGAGCUCAACUCCAGAACUGCCUUUGAUACUGAGGAUCUUGAGUACGGGAGAGGUGAGUGGAACUGCGAGUGUAGAGGUGAAAAUUCGUAGAUAUUCGCAAGAACACCAGUGGCGAAGGCGGCUCACUGGCCCCGUUACUGACGCUGAGGCACGAAAAGCGUGGGGGGAGCAAAACAGGG